rnacentral:rRNA from 1 species
AAUCCUGGUCGGACAUCAGGAGGUUAGUGCAAUGGCAUAAGCCAGCUUGACUGCGAGCGUGACGGCGCGAGCAGGUGCGAAAGCAGGUCAUAGUGAUCCGGUGGUUCUGAAUGGAAGGGCCAUCGCUCAACGGAUAAAAGGUACUCCGGGGAUAACAGGCUGAUACCGCCCAAGAGUUCAUAUCGACGGCGGUGUUUGGCACCUCGAUGUCGGCUCAUCACAUCCUGGGGCUGAAGUAGGUCCCAAGGGUAUGGCUGUUCGCCAUUUAAAGUGGUACGCGAGCUGGGUUUAGAACGUCGUGAGACAGUUCGGUCCCUAUCUGCCGUGGGCGCUGGAGAACUGAGGGGGGCUGCUCCUAGUACGAGAGGACCGGAGUGGACGCAUCACUGGUGUUCGGGUUGUCAUGCCAAUGGCACUGCCCGGUAGCUAAAUGCGGAAGAGAUAAGUGCUGAAAGCAUCUAAGCACGAAACUUGCCCCGAGAUGAGUUCUCCCUGAGACUUAGAGU